AGACCCGAAACCCGGUGAUCUAGCCAUGGGCAGGUUGAAGGUUGGGUAACACUAACUGGAGGACCGAACCGACUAAUGUUGAAAAAUUAGCGGAUGACCUGUGGCUGGGGGUGAAAGGCCAAUCAAACCGGGAGAUAGCUGGUUCUCCCCGAAAGCUAUUUAGGUAGCGCCUCGUGAAUUCAUCUCCGGGGGUAGAGCACUGUUUCGGCUAGGGGGCCAUCCCGGCUUACCAACCCGAUGCAAACUGCGAAUACCGGAGAAUGUUAUCACGGGAGACACACGGCGGGUGCUAACGUCCGUCGUGAAGAGGGAAACAACCCAGACCGCCAGCUAAGGUCCCAAAGUCAUGGUUAAGUGGGAAACGAUGUGGGAAGGCCCAGACAGCCAGGAUGUUGGCUUAGAAGCAGCCAUCAUUUAAAGAAAGCGUAAUAGCUCACUGGUCGAGUCGGCCUGCGCGGAAGAUGUAACGGGGCUAAACCAUGCACCGAAGCUGCGGCAGCGAACGUAUCACCCAAGACAACUUUACGGAGUUGACGAUUGACGGAGCGAAGCGACGUCAAAGCGUUCAUUAAAGUCGAGUUGGCUUAGGGAUACGUUCGUUGGGUAGGGGAGCGUUCUGUAAGCCUGUGAAGGUGUGUCGUGAGGCAUGCUGGAGGUAUCAGAAGUGCGAAUGCUGACAUAAGUAACGAUAAAGCGGGUGAAAAGCCCGCUCGCCGGAAGACCAAGGGUUCCUGUCCAACGUUAAUCGGGGCAGGGUGAGUCGACCCCUAAGGCGAGGCCGAAAGGCGUAGUCGAUGGGAAACGGGUUAAUAUUCCCGUACUUGGUGUUACUGCGAAGGGGGGACGGAGAAGGCUAUGUUGGCCGGGCGACGGUUGUCCCGGUUUAAGCGUGUAGGUGUGUGUUCCAGGUAAAUCCGGUUCACUUUAACACUGAGGCGUGACGACGAGGCACUACGGUGCUGAAGCAACAAAUGCCCUGCUUCCAGGAAAAGCCUCUAAGCAUCAGGUAACACGAAAUCGUACCCCAAACCGACACAGGUGGUCAGGUAGAGAAUACCAAGGCGCUUGAGAGAACUCGGGUGAAGGAACUAGGCAAAAUGGUGCCGUAACUUCGGGAGAAGGCACGCUGACACGUAGGUGAAGUGAUUUACUCAUGGAGCUGAAGUCAGUCGAAGAUACCAGCUGGCUGCAACUGUUUAUUAAAAACACAGCACUGUGCAAACACGAAAGUGGACGUAUACGGUGUGACGCCUGCCCGGUGCCGGAAGGUUAAUUGAUGGGGUCAGCGCAAGCGAAGCUCCUGAUCGAAGCCCCGGUAAACGGCGGCCGUAACUAUAACGGUCCUAAGGUAGCGAAAUUCCUUGUCGGGUAAGUUCCGACCUGCACGAAUGGCGUAAUGAUGGCCAGGCUGUCUCCACCCGAGACUCAGUGAAAUUGAACUCGCUGUGAAGAUGCAGUGUACCCGCGGCAAGACGGAAAGACCCCGUGAACCUUUACUAUAGCUUGACACUGAACAUUGAGCCUUGAUGUGUAGGAUAGGUGGGAGGCUUUGAAGUGUGGACGCCAGUCUGCAUGGAGCCGACCUUGAAAUACCACCCUUUAAUGUUUGAUGUUCUAACGUGGACCCGUAAUCCGGGUUGCGGACAGUGUCUGGUGGGUAGUUUGACUGGGGCGGUCUCCUCCUAAAGAGUAACGGAGGAGCACGAAGGUUGGCUAAUCCUGGUCGGACAUCAGGAGGUUAGUGCAAUGGCAUAAGCCAGCUUGACUGCGAGCGUGACGGCGCGAGCAGGUGCGAAAGCAGGUCAUAGUGAUCCGGUGGUUCUGAAUGGAAGGGCCAUCGCUCAACGGAUAAAAGGUACUCCGGGGAUAACAGGCUGAUACCGCCCAAGAGUUCAUAUCGACGGCGGUGUUUGGCACCUCGAUGUCGGCUCAUCACAUCCUGGGGCUGAAGUAGGUCCCAAGGGUAUGGCUGUUCGCCAUUUAAAGUGGUACGCGAGCUGGGUUUAGAACGUCGUGAGACAGUUCGGUCCCUAUCUGCCGUGGGCGCUGGAGAACUGAGGGGGGCUGCUCCUAGUACGAGAGGACCGGAGUGGACGCAUCACUGGUGUUCGGGUUGUCAUGCCAAUGGCACUGCCCGGUAGCUAAAUGCGGAAGAGAUAAGUGCUGAAAGCAUCUAAGCACGAAACUUGCCCCGAGAUGAGUUCUC
rnacentral:rRNA from 1 species